AGACAAAGGUCUCUGUGACACACUCCAGGUCUGAGUGCAUUGGCAGCUUCCACCAAGGAGUACUUGGAGCUGUUGAGAGUCAUGAGAGGUUAUUACGGUGGACAAUGACCUAUGGAGAGGACGGGACUGGCUUCCUACCCUUGACCCAGGGAGUCAAGGGAAUGCCAGUUGAAGAGAGCAGCUGUCUUCCUUUUUUUUUCUCCUGGAUCCAAAGACGCUGUAAGCAGAUUCUUCUCUUUUCCGAUGCCUUAUCCUCCAGUGAGUGUGGUUGAAGGUCAUCAAUCAUGUAAACGGAGAGUUUAAAAACCCUGGCUAACGGUCUGACACAAAUAAAACUUACAUCUGAGUGGAGCUGAGCGUGUUCAAGGAUUUCAGGAAUCGGUUGAAGUCAGAGCUCAAAAAUGCCCUAGGCUUUUGCCUCCUACUCAGCUUGGGCAUCUGCUCCCUGAACUAAUUCAGGGGGCCCAAGUUCAUCCCUAAGGAGCCCCUAUCUUGAUCACUCCAGGAGGCUCAAGGUUACGGCCAGUCUCAAGCUUUCUGCCCACACGCCCUGCUUCCUGACAGGCCGUGUGAGUAUCCUAAUGUCGUGAUACCAGCCUUGGAAGCCUUGCCCAAUGUUUGAUGAGCAUUCACAUCGCUACAUCUAGAAGUGAUGCUCCACGGCUUGUAUUUGUAAAUAACUGAUGCUCAUUUUGUGAGAAGGACAGUGUCUCGGGAUUUCCACUGCUGUGAACAGACACCAUGACCAAGACAACUUAUAAAGGACACCAUUGGGGCUGGCUUACAGGUUCAGAAGUUUGGUCCAUUAUCAUCAAGGCAGGAAACAUGGCAGCAUCCAAGCAGGCAUGGUGCAGGAGGAGCUGAGAGUUCUACAUCUGUUCCAAAGGCAACCAGAAGACUCAGCAUCCUCAGGCAGCUGGGAGGGAAGUCUCAUAUCCCACCCCCACAGUGACUUACUUCCUCCAACAAGGCCACACCCACUCCAUUGAAGGCCACAUCUCCUAAUAAUGGCACUCCCUGGGCCAAGCGUAUUCCAACCACCACAGAUGGAUUCUUAGGUACAUGUUAUCUGUGUAGAGAGUAGAAACAUCAAAGAAUUCCUUAUGUGCAUUAAUAUUGGAGCGUUAAGAUUGGACAUUACAAAGCCUUAGAAAUUC